rnacentral:rRNA from 1 species
AGAUGUGAAAGCCCAGGGCUCAACCUUGGAACUGCAUUUUGAACUGUUCGACUAGAGUACUGUAGAGGGUGGUGGAAUUUCCAGUGUAGCGGUGAAAUGCGUAGAGAUUGGAAGGAACAUCAGUGGCGAAGGCGGCCACCUGGACAGAUACUGACGCUGAGGAACGAAAGCGUGGGGAGCGAACAGGAUUAGAUACCCUGGUAGUCCACGCCGUAAACGAUGUCWACUAGCCGUUUGUGG